rnacentral:tRNA from 12 species
AGCUCAGUUGGUAGAGCAGUUGACUUUUAAUCAAUUGGUCGCAGGUUCGAAUCCUGCA